rnacentral:rRNA from 1 species
UGCCAGACUCCUACGGGAGGCAGCAGUGGGGAAUAUUGCACAAUGGGGGAAACCCUGAUGCAGCGACGCCGCGUGAGUGAAGAAGUAUUUCGGUAUGUAAAGCUCUAUCAGCAGGGAAGAAAAUGACGGUACCUGACUAAGAAGCCCCGGCUAACUACGUGCCAGCAGCCGCGGUAAUACGUAGGGGGCAAGCGUUAUCCGGAUUUACUGGGUGUAAAGGGAGCGUAGACGGCUGUGCAAGCCAGAUGUGAAAGCCCGGGGCCCAACCCCGGGGCUGCUCUUGGAACUGCGUGGCUGGAGUGCAGGAGGGGCAGGCGGAAUUCCUGGUGUAGCGGUGAAAUGCGUAGAUAUCAGGAGGAACACCGGUGGCGAAGGCGGCCUGCUGGACUGCAACUGACGUUGAGGCCCGAAAGCGUGGGGAGCAAACAGGAUUAGAUACCCUUGUAA